rnacentral:lncRNA from 1 species
AUAAAUACAAUGUAUGUUUGAGCUCUAGAGAGCAAUCAAAUAUAUUCCCAUUUCUUGCAUAACCUAAAGAAUGCUAUAUCUAGUAAAUCUCAUAUAAACCUAAGUAUUAAACUGAGCAUUUUAAUCACAUUUUUAAAAAGUUAUUGUGUAUUGCAUGUAUAUUUCAUCUUUACAUUGUUUCAGGAAAUUUAUAGGAAAAUCUUCAACUUAUGAAAUUCUCUGGUUUUUUGUUUGUAUGUUUAAGUUUAACUCUGGCUCUGAGAUAUCUUUUCCUCUGUCCACUCUGUUUUGGUAGGAACAGUAGUCUUGGUUUCAGGCUGAUGUCUUACAUAUGAGACGGAAUAGCCUUCAGU